rnacentral:tRNA from 3 species
GGAGGGGUGGCCGAGUGGUUAAAGGCAGCAGACUGUAAAUCUGCCGGGUUUCCCUACGCAGGUUCGAAUCCUGCCCCCUCCACCA